rnacentral:rRNA from 1 species
UACGGAGGGUGCAAGCGUUAUCCGGAUUCACUGGGUUUAAAGGGUGCGUAGGCGGGCAGGUAAGUCAGUGGUGAAAUCCCCGAGCUUAACUUGGGAACUGCCGUUGAUACUAUCUGUCUUGAAUGUUGUGGAGGUGAGCGGAAUAUGUCAUGUAGCGGUGAAAUGCUUAGAUAUGACAUAGAACACCAAUUGCGAAGGCAGCUCGCUACACAACUAUUGACUCUGAUGCACGAAAGCGUGGGGAUCAAACAGG